GGGCGUGUGGUCUAGUGGUAUGAUUCUCGCUUUGGGUUCUUUUACUCGAAUAUGCGAGAGGCCCUGGGUUCAAUUCCCAGUAUGCCCC
rnacentral:tRNA from 1 species